CCUACGGGUUGCAGCAGUGGGGAAUCUUGGACAAUGGGCGAAAGCCCGAUCCAGCAAUAUCGCGUGAGUGAAGAAGGGCAACGCCGCUUGUAAAGCUCUUUCGUCGAGUGCGCGAUCAUGACAGGACUCGAGGAAGAAGCCACGGCUAACUUCGUGCCAGCAGCCGCGGUAAUACGAAGGGGGCUAGCGUUGUUCGGAAUUACUGGGCGUAAAGCGCGCGUAGGCGGAUAGAUAAGUCAGAGGUGAAAUCCCGGGGCUCAACCCCGGAAUUGCCUUUGAUACUGUUUAUCUUGAGUGUAGAAGAGGUAAGUGGAAUUCCGAGUGUAGAGGUGAAAUUCGUAGAUAUUCGGAGGAACACCAGUGGCGAAGGCGGCUUACUGGUCUGCAACUGACGCUGAGGCGCGAAAGCGUGGGGAGCAAACAGGAUUAGAUACCCCUGUAGUC
rnacentral:rRNA from 1 species